AUUGAACGCUGGCGGCAUGCUUUACACAUGCAAGUCGAACGGUAACAGGGAGCUUGCUCCGCUGACGAGUGGCGAACGGGUGAGUAAUAUAUCGGAACGUGCCCAGUCGUGGGGGAUAACGUAGCGAAAGUUACGCUAAUACCGCAUACGAUCUAAGGAUGAAAGCGGGGGACCGUAAGGCCUCGCGCGAUUGGAGCGGCCGAUGUCAGAUUAGCUAGUUGGUGGGGUAAAGGCCCACCAAGGCGACGAUCUGUAGCUGGUCUGAGAGGACGACCAGCCACACUGGGACUGAGACACGGCCCAGACUCCUACGGGAGGCAGCAGUGGGGAAUAUUGGACAAUGGGCGAAAGCCUGAUCCAGCAAUGCCGCGUGAGUGAUGAAGGCCUUAGGGUUGUAAAGCUCUUUUACCCGAGAUGAUAAUGACAGUAUCGGGAGAAUAAGCUCCGGCUAACUCCGUG
rnacentral:rRNA from 1 species